UACAGAGGUCUCAAGCGUUGUUCGGAAUCACUGGGCGUAAAGGGUGCGUAGGCGGGUCUUUAAGUCAGGGGUGAAAUCCUGGAGCUCAACUCCAGAACUGCCUUUGAUACUGGCGAUCUCGAGUCCGGGAGAGGUGAGUGGAACUGCGAGUGUAGAGGUGAAAUUCGUAGAUAUUCGCAAGAACACCAGUGGCGAAGGCGGCUCACUGGCCCGGUACUGACGCUGAGGUGCGAAAGCGUGGGGAGCAAACAGG
rnacentral:rRNA from 1 species